rnacentral:rRNA from 1 species
UGGGGAAUAUUGCACAAUGGGCGCAAGCCUGAUGCAGCCAUGCCGCGUGUAUGAAGAAGGCCUUCGGGUUGUAAAGUACUUUCAGUCGGGAGGAAGGUGGUAAGGUUAAUAACCUUGGCAAUUGACGUUACCGACAGAAGAAGCACCGGCUAACUCCGUGCCAGCAGCCGCGGUAAUACGGAGGGUGCAAGCGUUAAUCGGAAUUACUGGGCGUAAAGCGUACGCAGGCGGUUGAUUGAGUCAGAUGUGAAAUCCCCGGGCUUAACCCGGGAAUUGCAUCUGAUACUGGUCAGCUAGAGUCUUGUAGAGGGGGGUAGAAUUCCAUGUGUAGCGGUGAAAUGCGUAGAGAUGUGGAGGAAUACCGGUGGCGAAGGCGGCCCCCUGGACAAAGACUGACGCUCAGGUGCGAAAGCGUGGGGAGCAAACAGG